rnacentral:lncRNA from 1 species
UGGAUAAGGUGGCGCAUGGGAUUAGUUGCUCAUUCAAAUUCAAACAUCAUUUGAAUUUGAAUGGCCAACUAAUCAAUCUUUAUCCACUCAAAUAGCGCACAAGGGAGGAGCGUGGGAAGGCUUCUACAUGGAAGAAAAUUCAUGAGAAUUUAUUUCUCAUGAAUUCAAAUAGGCGCAGGUGGGUGAGGUGGCGCAGGGAGAUAAGUC